GACCAGACUCCUACGGGAGGCAGCAGUGGGGAAUAUUGCACAAUGGGGGAAACCCUGAUGCAGCGACGCCGCGUGAGUGAAGAAGUAAUUCGUUAUGUAAAGCUCUAUCAGCAGGGAAGAAAAUGACGGUACCUGAGUAAGAAGCCCCGGCUAACUACGUGCCAGCAGCCGCGGUAAUACGUAGGGGGCGAGCGUUAUCCGGAUUCACUGGGUGUAAAGGGAGCGUAGACGGCCAUGCAAGCCAGGGGUGAAAGCCCGGGGCCCAACCCCGGGACUGCCCUUGGAACUGCAUGGCUGGAGUACUGGAGAGGCAGACGGAAUUCCUAGUGUAGCGGUGAAAUGCGUAGAUAUUAGGAGGAACACCAGUGGCGAAGGCGGCCUGCUGGACAGCAACUGACGCUGAGGCGCGAAAGCGUGGGGAGCAAACAGGAUUAGAUACCCGCGUA
rnacentral:rRNA from 1 species